GACGGUUCUGGGCUGCCCAAUUAGUUGUUGGUUCGGCUCACUCAAUUUGGUUCGACCAAUGCGGUUCAACUGGACACUUUCUCCAUAAUUAAUUACAAAUAAUUUAUUUAACCCAAAUUAAAUGGGUAUUAAAAUAUAAUUAAUUAAAUUAUGAAUUAAUACACAUUUCUGGGCCAUCUUAGGCUGGAAAUUAAUGUGUCUCAAAACUUCAAAUUUCUUCUCGAUUUUGUGCUUUCAACAGUGUCAGCGAGCCAGUUUUCU
rnacentral:lncRNA from 1 species